GCCAAAGCGCAUGCUCCGCUCUCAUUCAUGAAUGGGGGGCCGGAAGGGAACUAGUUGCAAGUUAAGGAUGGAUGGUAGGCUGGGGCUGCCUUUUUUUUUAAUGAAUGAAAGGAGGCAGCUGCAGCCAGCUGCGCAUGCACCACACCCCCGCCCCAGCCUUGGGCUUCAAGGUAGAAACAGCAGGAUGUUGAAAAAGAAAAUCGGGCGAGUUUUAGAUCUGUUCUCCCUUGAACUGCAGUGACUUCAAGAAAUACAAUAGGAUGGGGAUAGGAGGCGAAGAUGGUAUGCUGGUUUCCCCCCUCCCUGUUGACAUCCAAAGGCAUCUGAGGAGCAUGAGGUCUUUCCUGUUUCUAAGAAAACAGUUUCCCAGGAGGACACCUGAAACAACAACCGCCUUCUUCUCUUCUCUCUGUAUCUUUGGUGAGAGUCACAAAUCACCUCCCCCUCCUUUUAUAUCCCUCUCAUUUAUCAAGUCAGUUUUGUGUUUUGCUUUGUUUUCAUUCCUCUGUGCCAGAACAAAUCUCUGUGAGAGGCAGGUGCCAGGAAGUGCAGUAAUCAGAGGAAUGUGUUUCUAACUUUAGUUCUUUCAACUGCAGUGACAAUUACUGUGUUAUUUUAUUUAAAUAAACACAAGUCUUUUACUGGAAA